UGCCCUGUAAGAGGGAGAUAAUCCGUUUAAAUUCAUAUUUGUGGGUUAUAGCUGCCCAGGGAGCCGUUCUUAAUCCCUCCUGGAAUCACUGAUGGGUGAAGAGGAGACCCAGGCCUCUUUUCUAAGUAAGAAGUAGUUUUUCUAAGUAAGAAGAUGCUGGGGAUUGCGGGGGGGGGGGGCACACAAAGUGGAAGAGACAGAUUUGGGAAGCUUGUCUUCUCUGGAGAGGUGAUUACAGAAGAGAAUGAACUUUCCCCCUCAUCCCUGGGGUGUAUACCCCAUCUCACCCCCUCCAGGGGAAGACAGCAGCAGCAGCAGCAGCAGCAGCAGCAAGGAGUCUCACCCUUGCUGCAAGCUUUCCAGAAGGGAUUGCUGCCUCAAACUUGAGCUCAGCUUCAACAGAGGCAAAGGACAAAAUGGUCACCAGGGUGGGUGGCCCCUUGCUGAAAUGCUUGGUGAUCCCUGGAACCCCUCAAAUCUUUUUCCCUUCCUAGGCAAUGGUACCCACCAUGCCAGAACACACAGAAUUGUGGCCCCUAGGACCUACAGAUACUUAACAAAAGUCACAUUACAGUGGGGUCACUCUGUCCAGAGAGCAAAGCUCUCUGCAAGCCACCUCCAGUCCUAGAGAGAAAGGAAACCCCACAUCCCCUAAAGCCCCUUGUCAUGUCUUACACUGGAGCUUUGGCUGAACACAGCUGGGGCUAGUGGCAUGUAGCAUGAAAACAAACAAACAAACAAACAAAAACAGGAAGGCAAAACCUCUGGACCACACUGGGGCCCAGGGCAGCCAAGAAGAGAGGCUGCUGCUGACCACAACCAGCCGGGGGGGAACUGACACGCCAGUCCUGAGGAACCCUACCGAACUCCCCCAGCUAAGCAAGAAGCAGUAACUGCCAUGAAUCAGGUGGUUUGAUGUCGUUGUGUUCAGAAAGCCAGGCCCAACAACAUGAAACUACCUACUUCACUCAACAGUCCCGGCUCAAGCUGCCUGGCGGAGGUCCGCUGCUAGUUAACCAGGAAUUUGAAGUACUGGACCCAGAAAUCCAGAACUGACUUCAAGAAUCCUGACCAAGGCCCAGGUCUAAGCCCGGCCAGGGCCUUUGUGAGAUACCUACUUGGCCUCUCAGCACAGACCGGAGUUGGAGGGCUCCCCAGAUGAAAAGGAUUCCUAACUUCAAACUGCUAGGGAGAUUCGCACACACUCACCAUCU